rnacentral:rRNA from 1 species
AGAGUUUGAUCAUGGCUCAGGACGAACGCUGGCGGCGUGCCUAAUACAUGCAAGUCGAGCGGACAGAUGGGAGCUUGCUCCCUGAUGUUAGCGGCGGACGGGAUAACUACUGGAAACGGUAGCUAAUACCGCAUAAUGUCGCAAGACCAAAGUGGGGGACCUUCGGGCCUCAUGCCAUCAGAUGUGCCCAGAUGGGAUUAGCUAGUAGGUGGGGUAACGGCUCACCUAGGCGACGAUCCCUAGCUGGUCUGAGAGGAUGACCAGCCACACUGGAACUGAGACACGGUCCAGACUCCUACGGGAGGCAGCAGUGGGGAAUAUUGCACAAUGGGCGCAAGCCUGAUGCAGCCAUGCCGCGUGUGUGAAGAAGGCCUUCGGGUUGUAAAGCACUUUCAGCGGGGAGGAAGGCGAUAAGGUUAAUAACCUUGUUGAUUGACGUUACCCGCAGAAGAAGCACCGGCUAACUCCGUGCCAGCAGCCGCGGUAAUACGGAGGGUGCAAGCGUUAAUCGGAAUUACUGGGCGUAAAGCGCACGCAGGCGGUCUGUCAAGUCGGAUGUGAAAUCCCCGGGCUCAACCUGGGAACUGCAUUCGAAACUGGCAGGCUAGAGUCUUGUAGAGGGGGGUAGAAUUCCAGGUGUAGCGGUGAAAUGCGUAGAGAUCUGGAGGAAUACCGGUGGCGAAGGCGGCCCCCUGGACAAAGACUGACGCUCAGGUGCGAAAGCGUGGGGAGCAAACAGGAUUAGAUACCCUGGUAGUCCACGCCGUAAACGAUGUCGAUUUGGAGGUUGUGCCCUUGAGGCGUGGCUUCCGGAGCUAACGCGUUAAAUCGACCGCCUGGGGAGUACGGCCGCAAGGUUAAAACUCAAAUGAAUUGACGGGGGCCCGCACAAGCGGUGGAGCAUGUGGUUUAAUUCGAUGCAACGCGAAGAACCUUACCUGGUCUUGACAUCCACAGAACUUAGCAGAGAUGCUUUGGUGCCUUCGGGAACUGUGAGACAGGUGCUGCAUGGCUGUCGUCAGCUCGUGUUGUGAAAUGUUGGGUUAAGUCCCGCAACGAGCGCAACCCUUAUCCUUUGUUGCCAGCGGUCCGGCCGGGAACUCAAAGGAGACUGCCAGUGAUAAACUGGAGGAAGGUGGGGAUGACGUCAAGUCAUCGUGGCCCUUACGACCAGGGCUACACACGUGCUACAAUGGCAUAUACAAAGAGAAGCGACCUCGCGAGAGCAAGCGGACCUCAUAAAGUAUGUCGUAGUCCGGAUUGGAGUCUGCAACUCGACUCCAUGAAGUCGGAAUCGCUAGUAAUCGUAGAUCAGAAUGCUACGGUGAAUACGUUCCCGGGCCUUGUACACACCGCCCGUCACACCAUGGGAGUGGGUUGCAAAAGAAGUAGGUAGCUUAACCUUCGGGAGGGCGCUUACCACUUUGUGAUUCAUGACUGGGGUGAAGUCGUAACAAGGUAACCGUAGGGGAACCUGCGGCUGGAUCACCUCCUU